ensembl:lncRNA
GCAGCAAGUAUCACUGGUUAAUUGAUUUUAUUGUAACUUUAUCCAAACGCCCUACCAUAGUAAGCACCGUGUAAGCAAAUAGGAUGACUGACCACCUUUCCUGAAGAACCAGCAACACAGAAAUCAUAAACAAAGCACUAAGAGGAGCAGACUGACGGAGAAGGAUUCCCCUCUUCUCCUCUGCAGGAAUAUUGGUAAUCCCAACCUUAUUUUAAACCCUUGGUGAAGAAAUACACCUGCAGAGGUAUUGCAGAGAACAUGAAAUCAGUACCUGCAUGGGUUCCAGCUGGGUUGUGUACAGAAGACAAACAGGUUCUCUGGGCCCCAUCCCCUCAGGAAAAAAUACGAUCUUAUCUUGGAAAUACACCAGGCUCCACAGCAAAAGAGCUGCACAAGAGCAGAGAACCCCAGGAAACCCUCAUCACAUGGAGCUGCAAAUUUCACCAGUGUUUCUCAUCUGCUUCUUCAGGGUCAGUCAGCUUCAGAAUUUAACACUGGUGAGCACCCCAACACUUCCAUGUUUGUAUCUCUAGCCCAGCUGGGUCUCAUCUGUAUUCACCUGAAGGGAGCUCACUGAACGUAAAGAGUGUCCCACCUGACCGUGUUUUGGUCCUAAAGUCAUUCCUAUUUACUUUUAUCUGAAAAUGAUCGCUCAAAGUAAAAACAGCUACACGGGCCCAACUAUAAUGACACAGACUUUCCUCCUCUCUAAAUAAAUAUGAACAGGACUAAAACUGAAUAAAAAUAACUGUUCUGUUGAAAAGUCCUGAGUGCGUACAUGUGGAAACUUCUAAGAGGCCAAUAAAUAAGACCAUCUGAGUGAAUGAGGCUUUUAUUCUCAGCUUGAGACUGCAGAGGCUGAAACUGAUACGCAGCCAACUUAAUAGUAGGUGCUCUCACCAGAACUGAGCGUUCCUAAUAGGCAGUGGUUAUGCUUGCUCUAAAGUAGAGGCCGUAGCCAGCCUGUGAUUGAUACUGUGUAUUGACUGGGUGUGAGUACAACAAAAGAGGAGUUCAGAAGAUGUUGUACCUGCCGAUUUGAAGAAAU